GAUGAACGCUGGCGGCGUGCCUAAUACAUGCAAGUCGAGCGAACAGACGCGGAUCUUUCUCCUCUGACGUUAGCGGCGGACGGGUGAGUCACACGUAGAUUACCCUCCUAUAAGACUUGGAUAACUUCGGGUAACCCGAGCUACUACCGGAUACUAUCUUGAACCGCAUGGUUCAAUAGUGAAAGACGGUUUUGCUGUGACUUAUAGAUCGAUCCGCGCCGCAUUAGAUAGUUGGUAAGGUAACGCCUUACCAAGGCACCGAUGCGUAGACGACCGGAGCGGGUGGUCGGCGACACUGGAACGGAGACACGGACCAGAGUCCUACGGGAGGCAGCAGUAGGGAAUGGGCGGCAAUGGGCGAAAGCCUGACGGAGCAGCGGCGAGUGAGUGAUGAAGGUCUUCGGAUCGGAAAACCCUGUUAUGAGGGAAGAACAAAUGUGUGAGUAACAAUGCAGGACGUGACGGUACCUAAACAGAAAGCCACGGCUAACUACGUG
rnacentral:rRNA from 1 species